UACGUAGGGAGCGAGCGUUGUUCGGAAUUAUUGGGCGUAAAGAGUGUGUAGGCGGCGAUCCAAGUCUGUUGUGAAAUCUCCCGGCUUAACUGGGAGGGUGCAGCGGAAACUAGAAUGCUAGAGGGUGGGAGAGGUAAGCGGAAUUCCUGGUGUAGCGGUGAAAUGCGUAGAUAUCAGGAGGAACACCUGUGGUGUAGACAGCUUACUGGACCGCUUCUGACGCUGAGACACGAAAGCGUGGGUAGCAAACAGG
rnacentral:rRNA from 1 species